rnacentral:rRNA from 1 species
GCGAGUGGGCGCAUGGAUUAGGCAUGCAAGUCGAGGGAAUCCCAGCAAUGGGGGAACCGGCGUAAGGGGCAGUAAGGCAUGGGUACCUACCCUGAAGUUCGGGAUAGCCAUCAGAGAUGGUGGGUAAUACCGGAUGAUGUCGUGAGACCAAAGAUUUAUCGCUUUGGGAGGGGCCCAUGUGAUAUUAGCUAGUUGGUGAGGUAACGGCUCACCAAGGCAAAGAUGUCUAGCGGGUAUGAGAGUACGACCCGCGCCACUCGCACUGAGACACUGGCGAGACACCUACGGGUGGCUGCAGUCGAGGAUCUUCGUCAAUGGGCGAAAGCCUGAACGAGCGAUGCCGCGUGCGCGAUGAAGGCCUUCGGGUUGUAAAGCGCUUUAGUGGGGGAGAAACGGGUAAAACCUUGAUCUAUCCCAAAAAUAAGCUCGGGCUAAGUUCGUGCCAGCAGCCGCGGUAAGACGAACCGAGCGAACGUUGUUCGGAAUCACUGGGCUUAAAGGGCGCGUAGGCGGGCUGUCAAGUCUGGGGUGAAAUCCCGCGGCUCAACCGUGGAACUGCCUUAGAUACUGACGGCCUCGAGGGAGAUAGGGGCGAGCGGAACUGUGAGUGGAGCGGUGAAAUGCGUUGAUAUUCACAGGAACUCCGGUGGCGAAGGCGGCUCGCUGGAUCUUUUCUGACGCUGAGGCGCGAAAGCUAGGGGAGCAAACGGGAUUAGAUACCCCGGUAGUCCUAGCCCUAAACGAUGAGUACUAGAUUGUAGACUUACAUGGGUUUACAGUCUAAGCAAAAGUGUUAAGUACUCCGCCCUGGGGGAGUAUGGUCGCAAGGCUGAAACUCAAAGAAAU